AUGCUAAGAUUGCUGCCUUGUUACUUUUCUGCUUACGCCACAGUGGACCCCUCUCUGAAAAACACAGCCCUCCUAGGUGCAGGGGGCAUGCAACAAGGAUCUUUCACACAGGGCAGCCAAGUCUUACCCCUCUACCUUCUCUUCCUGAAUAUGGAGAAAAGUUCUUGGCCUGAUCCCUAAGGAAUUCCUCAUUUCUUUAUCCUAAAAUCACUGUAAUAGGACUAUGUGUACUCGGAAAUGGGUUUAUCUUGUAUUCUCUAUCCAAAGAAAUAUAUAUGGUUAUGCCGGAGAAUUUUGCUACUAUAUCAAUGGUAGGGUUACUUGUCUAUUACUUUUUUGACACCCAGAGGGAUAACAUUGCUUUGGCCUUGGAGGCUACUUACUGAGAAUAGCUGCAUAAAGUAUAGAAGGCUAUAAAGAAUUGCCUGGACUAUCAUAUCUCUGUGCAGACUAUUAUGGGAGAAGCACAAGGUGCAGAGAAUCUCUGCACAGCAAGAAAAGGAGACAUUUGUGAAGCGCAUGGCACAGUAAAGCUGCUCACAAAGAAGGCUCAAGCACAGCCAGCUCUA
rnacentral:lncRNA from 1 species